rnacentral:rRNA from 1 species
CCUACGGGCGGCAGCAGUGAGGAAUAUUGGUCAAUGGACGAGAGUCUGACCGAGCAACGCCGCGUGAGUGAAGAAGGUUUUCGGAUCGUAAAACUCUGUUGGUAGAGAAGAACGUUGGUGAGAGUGGAAAGCUCAUCAAGUGACGGUAACUACCCAGAAAGGGACGGCUAACUACGUGCCAGCAGCCGCGGUAAUACGUAGGUCCCGAGCGUUGUCCGGAUUUAUUGGGCGUAAAGCGAGCGCAGGUGGUUUAUUAAGUCUGGUGUAAAAGGCAGUGGCUCAACCAUUGUAUGCAUUGGAAACUGGUAGACUUGAGUGCAGGAGAGGAGAGUGGAAUUCCAUGUGUAGCGGUGAAAUGCGUAGAUAUAUGGAGGAACACCGGUGGCGAAAGCGGUCUGCUGGACAGCAACUGACGCUGAGGCGCGAAAGCGUGGGGA